AUAGUUAUAUUAGUCUAUAAUCGGUCUUGGACUUAUAAACGUGCUGAGCACCUAUGAUUACACCAUGGGUUAUAUUCCCCCAGAACACAGAGUUAUGGGCCUUUGCGAUUUAUAUCGAAGGUAAUGGCGGGGUUUUACUUGGUGCGGAAACUUGGCACAAAGUCACAACCAUACCACCCGUAUAUCAUUUAUAUGUGUAUCGUUGGGUUGUGUACAUGUGUCAGGUCCCUGUGUUUGGUAAUAGUGCUCUCUAAUAGGAGUCGGUCUCUGAAAGGUGUCGGGUUUUUUUUUAUUUGUUUGUUUGUUGUUGUUUUUUUUCAGAAACACUGGCAUAGGCAUUGCCAGACUUUAUUUCCACAGGCGCUUGUAUAGAAAUUGAGAAUUAAAAAAAAAAUGAUAUCAGUGGUAUGUGUACUGGGUAAUACUUAACAGAUUACACAUACCACUGUCAUAUUUUUUUUUUUUUUUUUUUGAAAAUCACGUUUUCUAUGCAAGCGCCUGUGUUUAUGUCCACUUCAGCGAAGCCAAUAUGCACUAGCAACACUUGACCACAGCCUAUCAAAAUGUGUUAAAAUGUACAAAUUAUUUUACGAUGUUAUCGCUUUCAGAAGUUAAUUAUCAAAUUGUCUCUCAGACUACAAUAUAUAUAUAUUUUAAUUUUAUUAUUUCCUGUGUUAUAUAUUUUUUGAAUAUCACAAUUUUAUUACAAAUAUACUUCCUUGCAUUUGUAUAUAGAUCAACAAGAUGUUUUACGCUAAGGCGUGCUUGUCGGGGUGAUGUUGAUAUGUCUCCUCUGAUGUAUAUAGCAUGUAGUCACGAUAUUCAUGUUCUGUAUAUAUUACUGUUAAUCACUUACAUUUCGUGUUGGAUUUAUUUUCGCGUUAAUACGCGAGCAAAGUCAAUAUCGAAUUCAAAUGCUUCUUAUGAAAAUAACACGUUUGGAUAUCAACCAAGCUAUCGAUUACCAAUAGUGGAAUCUAUGGCUCUGGGAGCUCAUCAUUCGCGAAUUGAAAAGUCGUUUCUAAAUCAGCGUUCGCGAAAUCGUGUACAUGUAUUCGCGAAUAUGUCUGAAGAGGUUAAUUGGCGAAAUAAUCUAAGUGAUUAACAGUAUCGUUUAUACAGAUGGACAUAUACAAUAGGGCAAUUAAAGAGCAAAUGGAGUUAUACGGGGCAGGCGCUAUGUUACAGGGCAAAAAGAUGUUACAUGGCAUAUCGUAUAUAGUUACUGGGCAAAACGAUGUGGCAGGAGGAAAGUGCUACAGCGGAGAGGGUAGUUAGAGGAGACAUUGGAGCUAUAACAGCAAGGGUAGGUGUAAGGUUGAGGACAGUAAGAGGGAGGAGGGCGUUACAGAUGAAUAGGCAGUUUGAGCAAAGUUACAGCAAAAUACGUAGUUAUAUGGCUGAGGACAGAGGGAGGGGGUGAAGUUACAGGAGAGAGAGGUAAAUCCAUAUCUUAUGGCAGUUAGAGGGAGAGGGGUGAAGUUACAGGAGAGAGAGGUAAAUCCAUAUCUUAUGGCAGUUCGAGGGAGGGGGUGAAGUUACAGGAGAGAGAGGUAAAUCCACAGCUUAUGGCAGUUAGAGGGAGGGGGUGAAGUUACAGGAGAGAGAGAGAGGUAAAUCCAUAGCUUAUGGCAGUUAGAGGGAGGGGGUGAAGUUACAGGAGAGAGAGGUAAAUCCAUAUCUUAUGGCAGUUAGAGGGAGGGGGUGAAGUUACAGGAGAGAGAGAGGGGGGUAAAUCCAUAUCUUAUGGCAGUUAGAGGGAGGGGGUGAAGUUACAGGAGAGAGAGGUAAAUCCAUAGCUUAUGGCAGUUAGAGGGAGGGGGUGAAGUUACAGGAGAGAGGUAAAUCCACAGCUUAUGGCAGUUAGAGGGAGGGGGUGAAGUUACAGGAGAGAGAGAGGUAAAUCCAUAGCUUAUGGCAGUUAGAGGGAGGGGGUGAAGUUACAGGGGAGAGAGGUAAAUCCAUAGCUUAUGGCAGUUAGAGGGAGGGGGUGAAGUUACAGGAGAGAGAGAGGUAAAUCCAUAGCUUAUGGCAGUUAGAGGGAGGGGGUGAAGUUACAGGAGAGAGAGGUAAAUCCAUAGCUUAUUGCAGUUAGAGGGAGGGGUGAAGUUACAGGAGAGAGAGGUAAAUCCAUAGCUUAUGGCAGUUAGAGGGAGGGGGUGAAGUUACAGGAGAGAGAGGUAAAUCCAUAGCUUAUGGCAGUUAGAGGGAGGGGGUGAAGUUACAGGAGAGAGAGAGGUAAAUCCAUAGCUUAUUGCAGUUAGAGGGAGGGGGUGAAGUUACAGGAGAGAGAGAGGUAAAUCCAUAGCUUAUUGCAGUUAGAGGGAGGGGGUGAAGUUACAGGAGAGAGAGAGGUAAAUCCAUAGCUUAUGGCAGUUAGAGGGAGGGGGUGAAGUUACAGGAGAGAGAGGUAAAUCCAUAGCUUAUUGCAGUUAGAGGGAGGGGGUGAAGUUACAGGAGAGAGAGAGAGAGGUAAAUCCAUAUCUUAUGGCAGUUAGAGGGAGGGGGUGAAGUUACAGGAGAGAGAGAGGUAAAUCCAUAGCUUAUGGCAGUUAGAGGGAGGGGUGAAGUUACAGGAGAGGGAGAGAGAGAGAGAGAGAGAGAGAGAGAGAGAGAGAGAGAGGUAAAUCCAUAGCUUAUGGCAGUUACAGGGAGGGGGUGAAGUUACGGGAGAGAGAGAGGUAAAUCCAUAUAUUAUGGCAGUUAGAGGGAGGGGUGAAGUUACAGGAGAGAGAGAGAGGUAAAUCCAUAGCUUAUGGCAGGGGUGAAGUUACAGGGAUUAGGACAGUUAAAGGGAAGAGUGGAUUUACAGAACUAAAAAGAGUAUUUAUAUGGCCGAUGGCAGUUGCAGGGAGGGUGGAAGUUACAGGAGAAAGGGUAGCAACAUAGCUGAUGGCAGUUAGAGGGGAGAAUGGAGGACAAACUACAGUUCAGGGAUAUGGGUUUUAAGGGAACAAAUAGAAAUUACCGAAAUGACGCCAGUUUGAAGACAGUGAUCCGUAACAAGGAGAGUAAGUGGGAAGUUAUAUAAUGGAGCAGAAAGUUAUUAACAAGGGCUGUAGCAUGCAGAAUAAAGACAGUGCCAGACGCCCCAUGCUGGUUUAGAGCAGGAGGAUGACCAGAUGAUUUAAAAUGUCUUUCAAUUUUAUUUAGUUAACAUUUUUACUUUGUUGUCAUUAUUAAAAACCGAUAUAUAGUCACAAUAAAAUAGACUUCAUCAAAUUUG